GACGAACGCUGGCGGCGUGCUUAACACAUGCAAGUCGAACGGAGAGGCCUGCUUUCCCUUGUGGAUUGCGGGUACUCGAGUGGCGAACGGGUGAGUAACACGUGAGUGAUCUGCCCCCAACUUGGGUAUAAGCCUGGGAAACUGGGUCUAAUUCCCGAUAGGACUGCAGGGUGGUGCCUGUGGUGGAAAACGAUUUUCUAGUGGUUGGGGAUGAGCUCGCGGCCUAUCAGCUUGUUGGUGGGGUAAUGGCCUACCAAGGCGGCGACGGGUAGCCGGCCUGAGGGGGUGGACGGCCACAUUGGGACUGAGAUACGGCCCAGACUUCUACGGGAGGCAGCAGUGGGGAAUAUUGCACAAUGGGCGGAAGCCUGAUGCAGCGACGCCGCGUGGGGGAUGACGGCCUUCGGGUUGUAAACUCCUUUCGACCGCGAGGAAGCCACCUGGUUGGAAGGGUGGUGACGGUAGUGGUAGAAGAAGCACCGGCUAACUACGUG
rnacentral:rRNA from 1 species